ACCAUUGCAUGCAUUUGUAGUCAAUUUUAAUCAUAUAAUCAAUAAAAUUAAAUGUAAUCAUUUAUUUAGUAAUUUUUAUAUAGUAAUAAAAUAAAUAAAUUGUUAAGAACGAAACAAUUUAAGAAAACGAUGAAAUAUUGUUCAUUUGGUACAAUUUUUGAUGUAUUGGGUUGAAGAUGAUUCUCAGUUUGGUGCAAAAUGAAACAAAAAUUUACCUCAAAUUCAAAACAAGAUCUAGGUCUCAAAGCUCAUCAAUAAAAAUAAAAUUCAUGUAUCUUUCUUUGAGAUAACCUAAAUAAACUUUUCUUCCUUGAACAGAAAAGGAGCAAUCUGGCUUCUUUCUCAUCUAUUUUCUGCAAGAUUCCAUCAGUUCCUAAAAACCUUUUAGAAAAAAUCCAUUUAACUGCAGAAAUAUGAAGAGAGCUGUGAUUGAUAUAAUAUACACGUACUGUAAAAGUCUCUGCGUGUGUGUGUGUCGACAAAUGGAUUUUUUUGACUUUCUUCAGUAACCAAAAAUGGAAAAAGUAGAUCUAGAGAAAGAUACAAACUUGUUAUCAUGGUCAGAGAUUGAUCAGUUGAUAGAGAGAGAAGUUUAAUCAGAUCAAAAUAAGGAAUUUUAUCCCAUGAGAUAUGAAAAGAAACAGAAUACAAAAACUUGAAAAAAAAAAAAAAGGAAAUAUAGCAAAAAAAAAAAGGGUAUAUAGGGAUAAGUGUAGAGCUCCCUUCAAUCCAAAGAAGGAUUUAACUUGCGAAAUGCAGGCUCCUGACACAUGCAACCCACAAACCCAUCCAAUACGGAUUAUAGAUAUGGAUAGGGUUGAGGGAUCCAUGGAUUAGCAGCUCGAUUUUCCCAGAAAGAACCUCUUUUGGACUUCAAGGAGCUCCACCCACAAACCCUAAUCUCACUAUAUUCAAGUUCACCAACUCUCACAACCCUAAAAACUUGAAAAUGAAGGUUUGAACCUCUUUUGGGCUUCAAGGAGCUCUACCCACAAACCCUAAUCUCGCUAUAUUCAAGUGCACCAACUCUCACAACCCUACGCAUUUGAAGAUGAAGUUUGAACCAAGAAAAUCACUGAUCUGAUGUGAUCUUUCACAUAGAGAUACAGAUCUAAGCGAAGAAAAACACUUAAUAUUAAAUAAAUACCACGAAUUUGCAGAUCCAUAAACAAGCAUCUGACUAAUAGACGCAAGAAUCAUACACAGGUAAAAGGAGUGAAUGGUCUAAGAUAUAAAGGGGAGGAGGAUAAGACUUGGUUUGUGGGGCGGGGGAGCGGGAGUGGGGGUGACAACGGCUGUUUUCUUGUAUCUAUUGUCUCGGGAAGCGUCUCUACAUAGCUAGGUUAAUUGAUUGAUUAGAUUCCUUCAGGCUUUGUAAAAG
rnacentral:lncRNA from 1 species